rnacentral:tRNA from 1 species
AGGAGAAUAGCUCAGUUGGCAGAGCAGCGGUUUCCAAAACCGAAGGACAGGGGUUCAAGUCCCUUUUUUCCUG